rnacentral:rRNA from 1 species
GACGAACGCUGGCGGCGUGCCUAAUACAUGCAAGUUGAGCGAUGAAGAUUGGUGCUUGCACCAAUUUGAAGAGCAGCGAACGGGUGAGUAACGCGUGGGUAAUCUGCCUUUGAGCGGGGGACAACAUUUGGAAACGAAUGCUAAUACCGCAUAACAACUUUAAACAUAAGUUUUAAGUUUGAAAGAUGCAAUUGCAUCACUCAAAGAUGAUCCCGCGUUGUAUUAGCUAGUUGGUGAGGUAAAGGCUCACCAAGGCGAUGAUACAUAGCCGACCUGAGAGGGUGAUCGGCCACAUCGGGACUGAGACACGGCCCAAACUCCUACGGGAGGCAGCAGUAGGGAAUCUUUGGCAAUGGACGAAAGUCUGACCGAGCAACGCCGCGUGAGUGAAGAAGGUUUUCGGAUCGUAAAACUCUGUUGGUAGAGAAGAACGUUGGUGAGAGUGGAAAGCUCAUCAAGUGACGGUAACUACCCAGAAAGGGACGGCUAACUACGUG